rnacentral:rRNA from 1 species
GACGAACGCUGGCGGCGUGCUUAACACAUGCAAGUCGAACGAUGAAGCAAAGAAUCGAAGCUUCGGCAGAAAUUCAUUUCGGAUUAGUGGCCGACGGGUGAGUAACGCGUGAGCAACCUACCUCUUACAAAGGGAUAGCCUCGGGAAACCGGGAUUAAUACCAUAUAACAUUGCGACGAAGCAUUUCGAUGCAAUCAAAGCUACGGCGGUAAGAGAUGGGCUCGCGUCCCAUUAACCGGAUGGUGAGGUAACGGCUCACCAUAGUGACGAUGGGUAACCGGGCGGAGAGGGGGAACGGUUACACUGGAAAUGAGACACGGUCCAGACUCCGACGGGAGGGAGCAGUGGGGAAUAUUGCACAAUGGAGGGAAAUCUGAUGCAGCGACGCCGCGUGAGUGAUGAAGGAAGUCGUUUCGUAAAACUCUGUUCUAUGGGAAGAAAAGGACGGUACCAUAGGAGAAAGCUCCGGCUAAAUACGUG